rnacentral:piRNA from 1 species
AUUGGCUGAAUUGCAUCAGGAGC